rnacentral:rRNA from 1 species
AAUGAACGUUGGCGGCGUGGAUUAGGCAUGCAAGUCGAGCGAGAACCCCGCAAGGGGGGACCGCGGCGAAAGGGACAGUAAUGUGUAGAUUAUCUGCCCUCAGGUCCGGGAUAGCUGCGGGAAACUGCAGGUAAUACCGGAUAACAUCUCCGGAUCAAAGGUGUGAUUCCGCCUGAGGAUGAGUCUGCAUCCUAUUAGCUAGUUGGUGGGGUAAUGGCCUACCAAGGCAUUGAUGGGUAGCAGGUGUGAGAGCACGACCUGCGUCAUUGGGACUGAGACACUGCCCAGACACCUACGGGUGGCUGCAGUCGAGAAUCUUCGGCAAUGGGCGCAAGCCUGACCGAGCGACGCCGCGUGUGGGAUGAAGGCCUUCGGGUUGUAAACCACUGUCAGAGGGGAUGAAAUGCAGGUGGGUGCUCCCAUCUGUUUGACAUAGCCUCAGAGGAAGGACGGGCUAAGUUCGUG